rnacentral:rRNA from 1 species
AGUGAACGCUGGCGGCAGGCCUAACACAUGCAAGUCGAGCGGCAGCGCGGGGGCAACCCUGGCGGCGAGCGGCGGACGGGUGAGGAAUUCGUCGGAAUCUGCCUUUUUGUGGGGGAUAACGUAGGGAAACUUACGCUAAUACCGCAUACGUCCUACGGGAGAAAGUGGGGGACCGCAAGGCCUCACGCAGAAAGAUGAGCCGACGACCGAUUAGCUAGUUGGUGGGGUGAAGGCCCACCAAGGCGACGAUCGGUAGCUGGUCUGAGAGGAUGAUCAGCCACACUGGGACUGAGACACGGCCCAGACUCCUACGGGAGGCAGCAGUGGGGAAUAUUGGACAAUGGGCGCAAGCCUGAUCCAGCCAUGCCGCGUGUGUGAAGAAGGCCUUCGGGUUGUAAAGCACUUUUGUCCGGAAAGAAAUCCCUGGAGCUAAUACCUUCGGGGGAUGACGGUACCGGAAGAAUAAGCACCGGCUAACUUCGUG